rnacentral:lncRNA from 1 species
CGCCUCUGAUGUGGCCGGGCACCGGGUUGGCUCCCCGGUUGGAGGAUCGUUAACGGAUGUCGCUCAUCCUGGUCAGGGGACAGUACACAACGCAGCCCCAGGAGCUUCGGGAUCGAGGGGCUUGGCCGGUGAGUCCUCUGCUUCUCUGCACUCCAGUGCAUUGGUUCAUACACUUCAAGCACUUCUCCACUCACUGGGAGCGGGGGGUGCCACAAAGGGCGGUGUGGGUCAGGUUUGGGCUCAGGGGGCCGGGGUGGCGGGCCCGAGCGAGAUUCCCUCCGCGGAACAGAGUUCAGGUGGGGACACUGCAGUGACAGUUACCGGGGCGGAGGCGACGAGCGAGCGGGCUGAGUUGACGGGGGGGGUGGUUCCUGAUGCGGCCAGGCAACACGCAUAUGUGUCGUUUGCGGGUCCGCUGGGGGUCCACCUCAAACAGGAGGUGAAGGAAAAAAUCUGGAAGGGUUACUUCUGCGAGAUCUUUUCUCUUCUCCCUUUGGAAGAUUUUAUCGAUCUCAAAGAGGACGAUAAAAAAGAUGAGAAGAAGGAGGGGGAAGAGAAGAAGAAGCGGUAUCGUAAGAUUCCUAAGUCUUUCGGUAACUGGCUGAGGGCGUUUUGCGUGUUGGCCAGUGUUCUGGGCGAGAAAUCGCCGGGCCUGUGCUCCUCCCUGUUUUGUUAUUUGGAUGGCAUUUGGGAGGCGUAUCGCACCUAUGGCGGACUGGCAUGGUGGCGGUAUGACGAGCAAUUCCGGCAGCGUUUGGCGGCUAAUCCGGGUAUGCGGUGGGAUCAAAUGGACCUGCCUCUCUGGAUGAAGCUGAUGAUGGCGCAGAAAGCGCAGCCCUUUCAGCCCACGGCCGGCGCAAAGGGGCAGUCCGCCUCGUCGGCCGCCAUGCAAAAGGGCUUCUGCUGGCUCUUUAACGAGGGCCAGUGCAAAUGGGGAAACGCCUGUCGCUUUAAGCACGAGUGUUCGGGCUGCGGAGGCGCGCAUGGGCUCAACCGGUGCUUCAAGAAAGGGAAGUCAGGGCACACUGGGGUCCCUACCGCGGCUGGGGGGGGAGGGGGAGUUUCGCUUGCCCCGGGGCCUAACCCCGGUGAGGCUAGACGCGAUGGAGCCGUGGCUAAGCCGCAACAGUAAUAAGGCAGAUGCCGUGGCGCUCCGGGCGGGGUUUGGUCAGGGGUUCUUUAUCCCUUUCCGGAACCGGGGGGGGACUGGGGUUCGGCGCAACCUUAAAUCGGUGGCUGAGUUCCCGGGUGUGGUGCGGGAAAAACUGGGCAAGGAAGUCAAAUUGGGGAGGAUGGCAGGACCGUUCCCGGCUCCUCCAAUGGAGGGUCUGCGGGUUUCCCCACUCGGGGUGGUUCCCAAGAAGGAACCGGGCAAAUUCAGGCUAAUUCACCACCUCUCCUACCCGGAAGGAGAGUCGGUGAAUGAUGAUAUUGACAAGGACUUGUGCUCGGUCUCCUACGCAUCAUUCGACAGGGCGGUCGAGCUGGUAAGGAGGGCCGGGUGCGGGGCACUGUUGGCUAAAGUGGAUAUUGAAGCGGCGUUUCGGCUGCUUCUGGUCCACCCAGCGUGCCAUCACUUGCUGGGGUGUUUCUUCGACGGGGAGUACUUUGUGGAUUUGUGCCUUCCAAUGGGUUGUGCUAUCUCCUGCGCCUACUUCGAGAAGUUUAGUACCUUUCUUGAAUGGGUGGUCAAGGUUGAGGCGGGGAGUGGGGCUGUGGUACACUACCUGGACGAUUUUCUCUGCGUGGGACCGGCGGGCUCCCCCGCCUGCCUACACUUGCUGAGAACGGUCGAGUGGGUGGCUGGCCAUUUCAGGGUCCCUCUGGCGGCGGACAAGACAGAAGGGCCGGCUCCGUGCCUUAGUUUUCUGGGGCUGGAGAUAGAUACGUUGCAAGGGGAGUGUCGGCUGCCGUUGGAAAAGUUGCGUCGGCUGAGGGAGGAGGUGACAGCGGCGGCUCAAGCCCGUAAGGUUACAUUGCGGCAGCUGCAGUCGUUGAUCGGGAUGCUGAAUUUUGCAUGCCGGGUGAUCCCAGUGGGUAGGGUGUUCAGCCGGAGCCUGUCGGCAGCGACGGCGGGGGUGCGAUCCCCGCGUCACUUCAUUCGGGUGUCGUCGGCCAUGAGGGCCGACUUGGCCGUAUGGGAGACCUUUUUGCGGGAGUUCAACGGGACGGUGAUUUUUAGACAGGAGGGCGUGUCGGCUGCGGAACUGGAGCUGUUCACUGACGCGUCUGGUAGCGUGGGCUUCGGGGCUUAUUUUGGGGGACGUUGGUGUGCGGAGCAAUGGCCGGGGGAGUGGCGAAUGAGCCCCCUCAUGCGGAACUUGGCUUUCUUGGAGCUGUUCCCGCUGGUCGUCGCGUUGGCCCUGUGGGGGGAUAGGCUGCGGGACCGGAAGGUGGUCUUUUUCUCGGACAAUAUGGCCGUGGUGCACGCUGUGAAUAACCAAUCAGCGGCAUCAAAACCCGUGGUUAGGUUACUACGUCAUUUUGUUCUGUUGUGCAUGUCGCUAAAUGUUGUUUUUCGUGCACGCCAUGUGCCUGGGUUCAUGAAUGAUGUAGCUGACGCCCUGUCUCGUUUUCAGUGGUCACGAUUCCGGACGGUGGCGCCGGAAGCCCAAGAAGUGGGGCAGGCUUGCCCAGACGAGAUUUGGCGGCUCGGGGCGACCUGCUUGGGGGACUGGUGAAGGCUUCGCUGGCGCCGGCCACAUGGGCCGCUUACAGUAAGGUCUGGGACUCCUGGGAAAGGUCAUGGGAAGGGUUGGACCGCCUGCCGGCGGGGGAAUCGCUCAAGGAUGCGUUCCUCUGGUACACCUGUCAAUUUCUGGUGAAAGGGGUAUCCCCGGCGGUGGUUGACAGGUCCAUGGCGGCAAUGGCUUUUUGGUUCAAGCGACAUGGGGAAGAGGACCUUACUAAGGCCUUUGUCAUAAGGCAGGCACUGAAGGGGUACCGGCGGGGCCGCAGGCGGCCUGACACUCGGCGCCCAGUAUCGGUGCGAGUGUUGAGUGACCUGGUCGGUUUAUUGCCUACUAUAUGUUUCGACAGGUUCGAAGCAUCGUUGUUUCAGGCGGCAUUUCUGUUGGCCUUCUUUGGAGCCUUUCGGGUAGGGGAGUUGGUCAGUGCCACGAGGACUGCGGCAGGGGGGGUACAGGUGUCAGGGGUCCGAGUGCUGGAAGUGAAGGUGGUUGUACACCUGGCAAAAUCCAAGACGGACAGGUUAGGCAAGGGCCGAGAUGUGACGCUGCGGGCCCUGCCAGGCUCCGCUUUGUGCCCAGUGGCCGCAGUGGCGGGGUACAUGGCACGGAGGCCGGGGGUUGGAGGAUCGCUGCUGGUACACGCGGACGGGUCUUCCCUCUUCCGGUUCCAGUUCACCAAGGUUUUUCGGUCUGGACUGGGAAAGCUAGGACUGAGGGUGGAUACUUUUGGUACACACUCCUUUCGCAUUGGGGCGGCUACGGAGGCAGCUCGGUUGGGUCUGGGGGAUGACAUAGUGAAACGGAUUGGGAGAUGGGAGUCGGUACGGUUCCGUUCAUAUGUGCGCUUGGGUUUUUUGGAGUAGUAUGGUGAAGGGCCUUUGGGGGGAUCCCCGGGGGCUGGGUGUAUAAGGGGCUGUUAUGAUCUGUUUUCUUCUCUCCCCCAGGCCGUGUCGCAUGGAUCGUGGGCCAUUCAUUUGUCUUCUGGGCCGAAAGGAGGGCUGCAGCUCGAGCUCAGGGCCACCAGCUGGGCUUUCAUCGGGACCAGUUGGCAGUGCAAUGGUUUGGGUACAGGGGUUUUUGUUGGGGGGAG